CUUAACUCUUAAACAACACAAUUAAUCAAUUUCCAAAUCAACUUAUCUUUGAUUCUUCUCUCGCAACGCGUCUCCUGGAAUAGCGGUUUCCCUUCCAAAAUUCAGUUUCCAUUUUCCUAUGAAAAUGAAGUAAAUACCACACAGAUGCUGCCUUCCUCAAGUGGCUACUGAUUCUCGAGAAGAUGAGAGGAUCCUCCCCUAGUAUCGUUGAGCCCAGGCACCGACUCUCUGCUUCAGUAGAAGAGACAUCCAGAAGAAAGUCCUUUAGAGAUAAGGGUCUUAGAGAUGUUGAAAAGGCCCUGCAAGUUCCCAUCCAAUAUAGGAAUUUGAACUGCAAGAUAACUACUCUGAAAAUUGUGCUGGUGAUCAUUGCUUUGGGAACUUUGAUCACUUUCUUCCACUCUCCAGCGGUUCAUAUUGCAGAUCACCCUUCUACCUCUGGAUCUAGGCCAAGUCUUGUAGACCUAUGGAUAGGAGAGGAUGCUGCCUCAGAUCCUCGUUAUAUCUCAACUGCAGACAUCGACUGGGACCAGAUCUCGGACUUUAUUGACAGACUAAAUGACAGUGCUGAAUAUCAGGGCAUUGGCUUGUUAAACUUUAAUGUGAGUGAGAUUGAUAAUUGGAAGCACCUGUUACCAGAUAUUGAGCAUGUUGUUCUAAACCUUGACCAUCUACCAAAAAAUGUAACGUGGGAAUCCCUGUACCCUGAAUGGAUAGAUGAAGAAGAAGAAUUUGAGGUUCCCACUUGUCCUUCAGUGCCCAAACUUAAAGUUCCUGGCAAGCCUCGUAUUGAUGUCAUUGCUGUCAAGCUUCCAUGUGACAAGUCAGGAAGAUGGUCAAGAGAUGUAGCUCGUUUGCACCUGCAGCUUGCAGCAGCAAGUCUUGCUGCUUCUGCUAAAAGUUAUCAUCCUGUUCAUGUGCUUUUGGUGACUGAUUGCUUCCCAACCCCAAAUCUGUUUACUUGCAAGGAGCUUAUUUUUCAUGAAGGGAAUUUAUGGCUGUAUCAACCCAACCUUAACGUGUUACGAGAAAAACUACAGCUCCCAGUGGGGUCAUGUGAACUUGCAGUUCCUCUCAAGGCUAAAGAGAAUUUCUAUUCAGAAAGAGCACAUAGGGAAGCAUAUGCAACAAUCCUGCACUCUGCACAUGUUUAUGUGUGUGGGGCGAUUGUUGCUGCUCAGAGCAUUCGUAUGGCAGGUUCAACACGGGAUCUUGUAAUACUGGUUGAUGAAACAAUUAGUGAUUAUCAUAGAGGAGGAUUAGAGGCUGCAGGCUGGAAAAUCCAUACAAUCCAAAGAAUCAGGAACCCGAAAGCUGAAAAGGAUGCUUACAAUGAAUGGAACUAUAGUAAAUUUCGACUCUGGCAGUUGACAGAUUAUGACAAGAUCAUUUUCAUUGAUGCUGACAUGCUUAUACUGAGAAAUAUUGAUUUAUUGUUUGAGAUGCCAGAAAUUACUGCUAUAGGGAAUAAUGCUACCCUGUUCAACUCUGGAGUGAUGGUGGUUGAACCAUCAAAUUGUACGUUCCAGCUCUUAAUGGAUCACAUCAAUGAGAUUGAGUCAUACAAUGGUGGGGACCAGGGUUAUCUGAAUGAAAUUUUCACAUGGUGGCACCGGAUUCCUAAACACAUGAACUUCCUGAAACACUUUUGGGAAGGUGACGAGAAGGAGAAGAAACAAAUGAAAACUCAUCUCUUUGGUGCUGAUCCUCCAAUCCUUUAUGUUCUACACUAUCUGGGUAAUAAACCCUGGAUAUGCUUCCGGGAUUAUGAUUGCAACUGGAAUGUAGACAUUUUGCAGGAGUUUGCUAGUGAUGUUGCUCACAAAACAUGGUGGAAGGUGCAUGAUGCUAUGCCAGAAAACUUGCACAAGUACUGCCUCCUUAGGUCCAAGCAAAAGGCAGCAUUGGAGUGGGACCGGAGGCAAGCUGAGAAAGCUAAUUACACUGAUGGUCAUUGGAAAAUCAAGAUAAAAGACAAACGUUUGAAAACUUGCUUUGAAGAUUUCUGCUUCUGGGAGAGUAUGUUAUGGCACUGGGGUGAAAAGAAUUGGACAGACAAUGCAACAAGUGUUGCUCCAUCGCCUCCUCCUCCUGUUGCUAUUACUGCCUUGUCUCUCUAAUCUUUGUGAUUGGUUAUUCUUUCAUAAUUACAAUUUACUUGUGGAUGACACAGAAUUGAAUGAAUUGAAAAUUGAGCUAUGGAUUCAGCAACUGUAUCAACAUAUAUAGGGUCAAUUGCUGUUAUUAGAAUGUGCAUCUUCAUUUGUUCUGAACUUUUUCCGAUCUGGCAGAUAAGGGCAUCAUAAAUUACGGAGUCAAACUACUGGCAAGUAUUUUCCACUUACCAUCCUGCCCCUCCAACUCUAAAUGCUUCAAUGCUCAUCUGAUUGUAUUGCUAUCUGCUAUAACAUGUUUUAAAGGAUACGAAUUGCCUUACCUAUAAGGGGAGAAUCCUACUUAAUUAUUUAUUUAUUCUGUAUUUAACCUAACCUAAAUUGAAUUGAAAUUAGGAUCUCUGGGUUGGAAUUUUU
rnacentral:misc_RNA from 1 species